GUCGAACGGUGUCUUCGGACACAGUGGCGGACGGGUGAGUAACGCGUGAGAAUCUGCCUUCAGGUCUGGGACAACCACUGGAAACGGUGGCUAAUACCGGAUGUGCCCUUCGGGGUGAAAGGUUAACUGCCUGAAGAUGAGCUCGCGUCUGAUUAGCUAGUUGGAAGUGUAAUGGACUCCCAAGGCGACGAUCAGUAGCUGGUCUGAGAGGACGAUCAGCCACACUGGGACUGAGACACGGCCCAGACUCCUACGGGAGGCAGCAGUGGGGAAUUUUCCGCAAUGGGCGAAAGCCUGACGGAGCAAUACCGCGUGAGGGAGGAAGGCUCUUGGGUCGUAAACCUCUUUUCUCAGGGAAGAACACAAUGACGGUACCUGAGGAAUAAGCAUCGGCUAACUCCGUGCCAGCAGCCGCGGUAAUACGGAGGAUGCAAGCGUUAUCCGGAAUGAUUGGGCGUAAAGCGUCCGCAGGUGGCAAUGUAAGUCUGCUGUUAAAGAGUCUAGCUCAACUAGAUAAGAGCAGUGGAAACUACAUAGCUAGAGUACGUUCGGGGCAGAGGGAAUUCCUGGUGUAGCGGUGAAAUGCGUAGAGAUCAGGAAGAACACCAGUGGCGAAGGCGCUCUGCUAGGCCGUAACUGACACUGAGGGACGAAAGCUAGGGGAGCGAAUGGGAUUAGAUACCCCAGUAGUCCUAGCCGUAAACGAUGGAUACUAGGCGUG
rnacentral:rRNA from 1 species